rnacentral:lncRNA from 11 species
CUUUUUGAUACAAGCAGAAUUUUGGGAAAUGUAGUUUAGAGCUGGGCCUUUUGUAUUCUCUGGCAUAAGGCUCCUCGCCUUCCCAAACUACAUUUUCCAGAGUUCUGUGCUUUCUUUCUCAGCAAACUUUGCUUUCUUCCUGCUUUCCCUCUCCCAAUGGUGAAAGGCCAUUACUUUACAGAGGAAUGGGAGUCUUUUUGGCUUUGCUUUGCUUGCUUGCCAUGAAAAUGAAGCUGACUUUGGGAGGGAGCCUUCUGAGAUUUACAAAAUACAAACAAAAAAGGAUUGGAGGAAUACAGAGUUCACGAGGAACAGCCAGGAGAUUACUGCUGCAUUGCUCCCGCAUCUGCCACUUGAGGCGGUCAAUUCAUUCUCUCUAAUGGUAGCAUCAGCCCUGGGAACAUCUUAAUGUCUUGAAUGCUUCCUUGCCAAAUGCAGUUAAUGUACUAAAUAAAGUACAAAGAGCUAUUAAAACGAGUG